rnacentral:rRNA from 1 species
UACGUAGGGGGCAAGCGUUGUCCGGAUUUAUUGGGCGUAAAGAGCGUGUAGGCGGCCAUGUAGGUCCGUUGUGAAAACUCGAGGCUCAACCUCGAGACGCCGAUGGAAACCAUGUGGCUAGAGUCCGGAAGAGGAGAGUGGAAUUCCUGGUGUAGCGGUGAAAUGCGCGGAUAUCAGGAAGAACACCCGUGGCUAAGGCGGCUCUCUAGUACGGUACUGACGCUGAGACGCGAAAGCGUGGGGAGCAAACAGG